rnacentral:rRNA from 1 species
GUAAGUGUCUAAGGGCGCAUGGUGGAUGCCUUGGCAUCGAGAGCCGAUGAAGGACGUGGGAGGCUGCGAUAUGCCUCGGGGAGCUGUCAACCGAGCGUGGAUCCGAGGAUUUCCGAAUGGGGAAACCCAGCACGAGUGAUGUCGUGCUACCCGCAUCUGAAUAUAUAGGGUGCGGGAGGGAACGCGGGGAAGUGAAACAUCUCAGUACCCGUAGGAGGAGAAAACAAUUGUGAUUCCGCAAGUAGUGGCGAGCGAACGCGGAACAGGCUAAACCGCACGCAUGGGUAACCGGGUAGGGGUUGUGUGUGCGGGGUUGUGGGAGGAUAUGUCUCAGCGCUACCUGGCUGAGAGGCAGUCAGAAAGUGUCGUGGUUAGCGGAAGUGGCCUGGGAUGGUCUGCCGUAGACGGUGAGAGCCCGGUACGCGAAAACCCGGCACCUGCCUAGUAUCAAUUCCCGAGUAGCAGCGGGCCCGUGGAAUCCGCUGUGAAUCCGCCGGGACCACCCGGUAAGCCUAAAUACUCCUCGAUGACCGAUAGCGGAUUAGUACCGUGAGGGAAUGGUGAAAAGUACCCCGGGAGGGGAGUGAAAGAGUACCUGAAACCGUGUGCCUACAAUCCGUCAGAGCCUCCUUUUCCUCUCCGGAGGAGGGUGGUGAUGGCGUGCCUUUUGAAGAAUGAGCCUGCGAGUCAGGGACAUGUCGCAAGGUUAACCCGUGUGGGGUAGCCGCAGCGAAAGCGAGUCUGAAUAGGGCGACCCACACGCGCAUACGCGCGUGUGAAUAGUGGCGUGUUCUGGACCCGAAGCGGAGUGAUCUACCCAUGGCCAGGGUGAAGCGCGGGUAAGACCGCGUGGAGGCCCGAACCCACUUAGGUUGAAGACUGAGGGGAUGAGCUGUGGGUAGGGGUGAAAGGCCAAUCAAACUCCGUGAUAGCUGGUUCUCCCCGAAAUGCAUUUAGGUGCAGCGUUGCGUGGUUCACCGCGGAGGUAGAGCUACUGGAUGGCCGAUGGGCCCUACUAGGUUACUGACGUCAGCCAAACUCCGAAUGCCGUGGUGUAAAGCGUGGCAGUGAGACGGCGGGGGAUAAGCUCCGUACGUCGAAAGGGAAACAGCCCAGAUCGCCGGCUAAGGCCCCCAAGCGUGUGCUAAGUGGGAAAGGAUGUGCAGUCGCAAAGACAACCAGGAGGUUGGCUUAGAAGCAGCCACCCUUGAAAGAGUGCGUAAUAGCUCACUGGUCAAGUGAUUGUGCGCCGAUAAUGUAGCGGGGCUCAAGCACACCGCCGAAGCCGCGGCACAUCCACCUUGUGGUGGGUGUGGGUAGGGGAGCGUCCCUCAUUCAGCGAAGCCACCGGGUGACCGGUGGUGGAGGGUGGGGGAGUGAGAAUGCAGGCAUGAGUAGCGACAAGGCAAGUGAGAACCUUGCCCGCCGAAAGACCAAGGGUUCCUGGGCCAGGCCAGUCCGCCCAGGGUGAGUCGGGACCUAAGGCGAGGCCGACAGGCGUAGUCGAUGGACAACGGGUUGAUAUUCCCGUACCCGUGUGUGGGCGCCCGUGACGAAUCAGCGGUACUAACCACCCAAAACCGGAUCGAUCACUCCCCUUCGGGGGUGUGGAGUUCUGGGGCUGCGUGGGAACUUCGCUGGUAGUAGUCAAGCGAAGGGGUGACGCAGGAAGGUAGCCGUACCAGUCAGUGGUAACACUGGGGCAAGCCGGUAGGGAGAGCGAUAGGCAAAUCCGUCGCUCACUAAUCCUGAGAGGUGACGCAUAGCCGGUUGAGGCGAAUUCGGUGAUCCUCUGCUGCCAAGAAAAGCCUCUAGCGAGCACACACACGGCCCGUACCCCAAACCGACACAGGUGGUCAGGUAGAGCAUACCAAGGCGUACGAGAUAACUAUGGUUAAGGAACUCGGCAAAAUGCCCCCGUAACUUCGGGAGAAGGGGGACCGGAAUAUCGUGAACACCCUUGCGGUGGGAGCGGGAUCCGGUCGCAGAAACCAGUGAGGAGCGACUGUUUACUAAAAACACAGGUCCGUGCGAAGUCGCAAGACGAUGUAUACGGACUGACGCCUGCCCGGUGCUGGAAGGUUAAGAGGACCCGUUAACCCGCAAGGGUGAAGCGGAGAAUUUAAGCCCCAGUAAACGGCGGUGGUAACUAUAACCAUCCUAAGGUAGCGAAAUUCCUUGUCGGGUAAGUUCCGACCUGCACGAAUGGCGUAACGACUUCUCAACUGUCUCAACCAUAGACUCGGCGAAAUUGCACUACGAGUAAAGAUGCUCGUUACGCGCGGCAGGACGAAAAGACCCCGGGACCUUCACUACAACUUGGU